rnacentral:tRNA from 1 species
AGUCCCGAAGGUUUCACAUCAAAAUGCAAGUUUGAAAAGGAGCCAAAAAGGGCUCCGGGGCUU